rnacentral:rRNA from 1 species
UACGGAGGGUGCAAGCGUUAUCCGGAUUCACUGGGUUUAAAGGGUGCGUAGGUGGGUUGGUAAGUCAGUGGUGAAAUCCCCGAGCUUAACUUGGGAACUGCCAUUGAUACUAUCAGUCUUGAAUACCGUGGAGGUCAGCGGAAUAUGUCAUGUAGCGGUGAAAUGCUUAGAUAUGACAUAGAACACCAAUUGCGAAGGCAGCUGGCUACGCGAAUAUUGACACUGAGGCACGAAAGCGUGGGGAUCAAACAGG